rnacentral:rRNA from 1 species
GGAAUUCUUCGGAAGGAAGAUAAAGUGACUGAGCGGCGGACGGGUGAGUAACGCGUGGGUAACCUGCCUCAUACAGGGGGAUAACAGUUAGAAAUGGCUGCUAAUACCGCAUAAGCGCACAGGACCGCAUGGUCUGGUGUGAAAAACUCCGGUGGUAUGGGAUGGACCCGCGUUGGAUUAGCUAGUUGGUGGGGUAACGGCCUACCAAGGCGACGAUCCAUAGCCGGCCUGAGAGGGUGGACGGCCACAUUGGGACUGAGACACGGCCCAGACUCCUACGGGAGGCAGCAGUAGGGAAUAUUGCACAAUGGGGGAAACCCUGAUGCAGCGACGCCGCGUGAAGGAAGAAGUACCUCGGUAUGUAAACUUCUAUCAGCAGGGAAGACAAUGACGGUACCUGACUAAGAAGCCCCGGCUAACUACGUGCCAGCAGCCGCGGUAAUACGUAGGGGGCAAGCGUUAUCCGGAUUUACUGGGUGUAAAGGGAGCGUAGACGGACGGGCAAGUCUGAAGUGAAAGGCAGGGGCUCAACCCCUGGACUGCUUUGGAAACUGUCCAUCUAGAGUGCCGGAGAGGUAAGCGGAAUUCCUAGUGUAGCGGUGAAAUGCGUAGAUAUUAGGAGGAACACCAGUGGCGAAGGCGGCUU